rnacentral:lncRNA from 1 species
GUGGUACCAGCAUCAGCCUUCUGCCUGCCCUGUCCUUGGCUGCUCCAGACCCAGGGCAGAGAAGCAGCUCCCAGCCCUCACCAGCCAUCUGCUCAGCCCCUGCCACCCUGACCCCCAGGUCCCCACACGCCAGCCGUACCCCCAGCUCCCCACUCCAGAGCUGCACUCCCAGUCUCUCACCCCGUAGCCAUGUCCCCAGUCCACACCAGGCUCUUGUGACCAGGCCCCAGAAACCUAGCCUGGAGUUCAAGGAGUUUGUAGGGUUGCCCUGCAAGAAUCGGCCGCCUUUUCCCAGGACCGGAGCUACCAGGGGAGCCCAGGAGCCCUGCUCUGUCUGGGUGAGCAUAGCCCCUCUGCAGCUGGAGGGUAGAACAAGGAAGGCCUGAGGUAGAGCUGGGAGGGAGCAUGGGUAGCCUUGGAUGGGGUUGGGGUCCUUGUUAGCUCUUCCCCAGACACCAUACCCCUUUCAGGAACCCCCAAAGAGGCAUCGUGAUGGUUCUGCCUUCCAGUAUGAGUAUGAGCCACCCUGCACGUCCCUCUGUGCUCGGGUCCAAGCUGUCAGGCUUCCUCCCCAGCUCAUGGCCUGGGCCUUGCACUUUCUGAUGGAUGCACAGCCAGGGUCUGAGCCAACUCCGAUGUGAGACGUCACGCAGGACAGAUACCGCUCCACACUCUGCUUCCUUUGAGUUUUUUAAUAAAAUAAUCUCAUGCGGC